rnacentral:rRNA from 1 species
UGGGGAAUUUUGGACAAUGGGCGCAAGCCUGAUCCAGCCAUGCCGCGUGCGGGAAGAAGGCCUUCGGGUUGUAAACCGCUUUUGUCAGGGAAGAAAUCUUCUGAGUUAAUACCUCGGGAGGAUGACGGUACCUGAAGAAUAAGCACCGGCUAACUACGUGCCAGCAGCCGCGGUAAUACGUAGGGUGCAAGCGUUAAUCGGAAUUACUGGGCGUAAAGCGUGCGCAGGCGGUUUUGUAAGACAGAGGUGAAAUCCCCGGGCUCAACCUGGGAACUGCCUUUGUGACUGCAAGGCUUGAGUGCGGCAGAGGGGGAUGGAAUUCCGCGUGUAGCAGUGAAAUGCGUAGAUAUGCGGAGGAACACCGAUGGCGAAGGCAAUCCCCUGGGCCUGCACUGACGCUCAUGCACGAAAGCGUGGGGAGCAAACAGGAUUAGAUACCCUGGUAGUCCACGCCCUAAACGAUGUCAACUGGUUGUUGGGAAGGUUCCUUCUCAGUAACGUAGCUAACGCGUGAAGUUGACCGCCUGGGGAGUACGGCCGCAAGGUUGAAACUUAAAUGAA